rnacentral:rRNA from 1 species
UACGUAGGGACCAAGCGUUGUUCGGAUUUACUGGGCGUAAAGGGCGCGUAGGCGGCAAAUUAAGUCAGCUGUGAAAUCUCCGAGCUUAACUCGGAACUGUCAGCUGAUACUGAUGUGCUAGAGUGCGGAAGGGGCAAUCGGAAUUCUUGGUGUAGCGGUGAAAUGCGUAGAUAUCAAGAGGAACACCUGAGGUGAAGACGGGUUGCUGGGCCGACACGUGACGCUGAGUGCGCGAAAGCCAGGGGAGCGAACGGG